rnacentral:lncRNA from 13 species
AUGCCUCGCUGUAUGUCUCUCUCAAAUGUCAAUAUGCCUUGUAUACUGUUGUUCAGGUUAGUUAUCAUUGUCUUAGUUUACAAUGGAGCCCCUAGUUCCACUCUUCAUACCCCUGAUACCUCCUUUGUCCCACCUCCCACACAUGCGGUGACCUCACCCAUUACAACCAGCAUGUCCAGAGAUACAACCUCUCUCAUCAUCACCCAGUGCCUGGGCUUACCUCCGCUGUACCCGCACCCCACCAUACCACUGUCGGCGCAUUAUGCCCUGAAUAUAUUCUACCAUGCCCAGAAAUCUGCUCCUUUUAUUCUCUGUCCCCAACGCUCUAGGCGACCAGUUUUGAUAGCCUUUAGCCGCACCCUCAUUCUACUCCUCCUCUGUUUCGCUGGUGAUGUGGAGGUAAACCCAGGCCCUGCAUGUCCCCAGGCACCCUCAUUUGUUGACUUCUGUGAUCGAAAAAGCCUUGGUUUCAUGCAUGUCAACAUCAGAAGCCUCCUCCCUAAGUUUGUUUUACUCACUGCUUUAGCACACUCUGCUAACCCUGAUGUCCUCGCCGUGUCUGAAUCCUGGCUCAGGAAGGCCACCAAAAAUUCUGAGAUUUUAAUACCCAACUAUAACAUUUUCCGUCAAGAUAGAACUGCCAAAGGGGGAGGAGUUGCAGUUUACUGCAGAGAUAGCCUGCAAAGUAAUGUCAUACUUUCCAGGUCCAUACCCAAACAGUUCGAACUACUAAUUUUGAAAAUUACUCUCUCCAGAAAUAAGUCUCUCACUGUUGCCGCCUGCUACCGACCCCCCUCAGCUCCCAGCUGUGCCCUGGACACCAUUUGUGAAUUGAUCGCCCCCCAUCUAGCUUCAGAGUUUGUUCUGUUAGGUGACCUAAACUGGGAUAUGCUUAACACCUCGGCAGUCCUACAAUCUAAGUUAGAUGCCCUCAAUCUCACACAAAUCAUCAAGGAACCCACCAGGUACAACCUUAAAUCUGUAAACAAGGGCACCCUCAUAGACGUCAUCCUGACCAACUGGCCCUCCAAAUACACCUCCGCUGUCUUCAACCAGGAUCUCAGCGAUCACUGCCUCAUUGCCUGUAUCCGCUAUGGAGCCGCAGUCAAACGACCACCCCUCAUCACUGUCAAACGCUCCCUAAAACACUUCUGUGAGUAG